AAGAUGCUUUGGGUUGUGGGUUCGGCCUAAGUUCCUUGGAACAGGACGUCAUAGAGGGUGAGAAUCCCGUAUGUGGCCGAGGCCCGCGCCUAUGUAAAGCUCUUUCAACGAGUCGAGUUGUUUGGGAAUGCAGCUCAAAAUGGGUGGUAAAUUUCAUCUAAAGCUAAAUAUGGGCCAGAGACCGAUAGCGCACAAGUAGAGUGAUCGAAAGAUGAAAAGCACUUUGGAAAGAGAGUUAAACAGUACGUGAAAUUGUUGAAAGGGAAGCGCUUGCACCCAGACUUGGGCGCUGCUGAUCACCUUGAGGUCUCCUCGAGUGCACUCGACAGCGCACAGGCCAGCAUCGGUUCGGGUGGCUGGAUAAAGGCCGUAGGAACGUAGCUCCUUUCGGGGAGUGUUAUAGCCUACGGUGCCAUGCAGCCCAGCCGGACCGAGGACCGCGCCUUCGGGCUAGGAUGCUGGCGUAAUGGGUGUAAGCGACCCGUCUUGAAA
rnacentral:rRNA from 1 species